CAGGUAUGUGGUUGAUUUAAGUUGUAUAUACACAUUACGAAAUCCAUACAACAAACAGUAUCGGUAUAGUAUAGUAAAUAUCAUUUUUUUCCCAAAUACUUUAUAGCCAGAGGCGUAUUUUCGACGCUAUAUAGUAUUGUUCUUUAUUUAAGUGCUCUUUCAUAUUAAUACAAUUUUUUACAACAUAUAAGUGUUUCGAUUUGCACACUUGUGCUCUAAAAUCUAAAUCACACCAUUUUAGUUUCUAUUAACUUU